CGACCAGAGAACAGGGGGUGCGACCCCAAGCUUUAUCAAAACCUAGUUCAUCACAAAACUCACAAAUUGAGGGCUCAAACCAAGUCAAAAUCGAAAAUCAAGCAUAGAUUACUGAUCCUCAUCACAAGAGGAUCACAAGUUUGACGCGUAACAAGCUAGGUGGAAGCUUGAUGAGGGAGCGGGUCAAACGAAUCAAGAAGGAAAGGAAAAAGCAUAGUUCGGACACGAGGAAAUAAAUAGCACAUGGAUGCUUACAUCGCUAUCGCUUAGCAGCCAUU